GCUUAAGUUUCUUUGUUUCUACUAUUAGUCUCCUCCAGAAUCAGUAUCUCCAUUAGGGUGGACAAUGUAAGAGCUUUGUUAAACCAUUUUUAUAAUCUAGCAUUAGUGAAUCUGGAUUCACUUUUCUACUCUCUGCUGCAAGGGAAAUACUGGUUAGAUUUGAGAAAGAAUACGGACAUUAGGGGUUAACAGCACAGGCUCUCAAACCAGAUGGUUGUGAGUUUAGCCGUGUUUUUUAAACCAUUUAUUUGUGUCUCAGUUUACUUAUCUGUGAAGUGGAAAUAACAGCACAAUCCUAUAGUGUUGUGCUUUAAUAUUCAUCAAGCAUUCAGAUUUGUGCUUGACAUAAAGUACAUGCUCAGUAAAUGUUAGGAUUAUUAGAUCUGCCUGGAAAAGCAAUUGGUCAGCCCCUAAAACUGACUAAACCAGUAAAGGUCUAGAUUGUUUACUUUUUGUUGUUUAGAAUACUCAGCUCCUGAGUUAACAACUAUCAGAUACCACAAUGAAACACAUUUGUUCAGGUCCUACAGGAACUACGAACGUCAGCGUUAGCUGAAGCCAGAUGCCCUAAAUUAUAUCUAUUACCCUAGUCAUAUUUACAUUUUCUGAUUUCCCUUUCUGCUGAAAAAUCCUAUGAUUUCAGGUUUCCCUGGACCCUUGAAGCAUGAGAAGAGAUCUAUGAAAGGCUAAAUUACUGUUGCUAGCAAAGGAAGGCUCACAUGGGUGAAGCUGUGAUCAGAAGCAUAAGAUCCCUGGGCUGCACUAUGAAUGUAUAAUGUAUUUAUUAAUGUGGCUCAUGGUUAAAAACAACCACCAAACAAAACCUGACCAUGGAGUAACCAGCCAGAUGCUCAUCUGUUCACCCCUCUCCAAACCUGCGUCACGGCUUGUACAUGAAACAGAACCUAGGAAUCUCAACUAGAUCCAUUGUAAGUUCUUCAGUGAGACAGUAAAAGCAUGUUUUGUUGUCUUUGUUAGAACAAUAAAAACAAAAAAAGGGGCAGAAGAAAGAUGAUCAAGUAUGGGCUUACAUCCUUAAUUUAAUGAAAUCCUUCUGUUUCUUUCAAAAUACAUUCCCCCCACCAAGUUAAAAAUCUCAUAACUCUUUAUAAUUAAAAUAACAUUUUGGAAAGUU
rnacentral:lncRNA from 1 species